AUUGAACGCUGGCGGCAGGCCUAACACAUGCAAGUCGAACGGUAGCACAGAGAGCUUGCUCUCGGGUGACGAGUGGCGGACGGGUGAGUAACGUCUGGGAAACUGCCCGAUGGAGGGGGAUAACUACUGGAAACGGUAGCUAAUACCGCAUAACGUCGCAAGACCAAGGUGGGGGACCUUCGGGCCUCACACCAUCGGAUGUGCCCAGAUGGGAUUAGCUAGUAGGUGGGGUAAUGGCUCACCUAGGCGACGAUCCCUAGCUGGUCUGAGAGGAUGACGAGCCACACUGGAACUGAGACACGGUCCAGACUCCUGCGGGAGGCAGCAGUGGGGAAUAUUGCACAAUGGGCGCAAGCCUGAUGCAGCCAUGCCGCGUGUAUGAAGAAGGCCUUCGGGUUGUAAAGUACUUUCAGCGGGGAGGAAGGCGGUGAAGUUAAUAGCUUCACCGAUUGACGUUACCCGCAGAAGAAGCACCGGCUAACUCCGUGCCAGCCGCCGCGGUAA
rnacentral:rRNA from 1 species